AACGAACGCUGGCGGCAUGCCUAACACAUGCGAGUCGAACGAGACCUUCGGGUCUAGUGGCGCACGGGUGCGUAACGCGUGGGAACCUGCCCUUAGGUUCGGAAUAACUCCCCGAAAGGGGUGCUAAUACCGGAUAAUGUCUUCGGACCAAAGAUUUAUCGCCUUUGGAUGGGCCCGCGUUGGAUUAGCUAGUUGGUAGGGUAAAAGCCUACCAAGGCGACGAUCCAUAGCUGGUCUGAGAGGAUGAUCAGCCACACUGGGACUGAGACACGGCCCAGACUCCUACGGGAGGCAGCAGUGGGGAAUAUUGGACAAUGGGCGAAGGCCUGAUCCAGCAAUGCCGCGUGAGUGAUGAAGGCCUUAGGGUUGUAAAGCUCUUUUACCCGGGAUGAUAAUGACAGUACCGGGAGAAUAAGCGCCGGCUAACUCCGUG
rnacentral:rRNA from 1 species